UUGCGUGAGAGAUUGAGUGUGCGGGAGAUUGUGUGUGUGAGAUUAUGCGUGUGUGAGUAUGAGAGAUUGAGUGUGCGGGAGAUUUUGUGCGUGUGAGAUUGUGCGAGUGUGAGAUAUUGAGACUGAGUGUGAUAUGUAUCGAGUGUGAGGAGUGUGUAGAGAGAUUGUGAGGAUUGUAAAUGAGUUCGAGACUGAGAGAGUGUGUACGCGAAAUAUUGUGAGCAAGACAGAUUGUGUGUUUGGGUAAGAUAGCUUAUGAGUGUUGAGGAGUGUGACAUACACAUUGUGAGUGAGUGUAAUUGAGAGAGGGUAUGAUUGUGCAGUCCACCUGUACUCUAUCGGAAGACCCUCCAGGGCUUCUUUCAACUUACACGACCACCAAAGACGCGACCACCUCCUCCACCACCACCCACCCACGUCAUGGCAGUGGCCCAAAGCAGAAAGGUCUCGGUGAGGCUCGUGGCACCGUCAGAGGAGACGCCACGGGGCACACAGCGGCCACGUGGACCAGGGUCGAGCAUGGAGCUGCACGCGGCCGUGCGCAGCGGGGAUCUGGCGCGGGCGCGCACGCUGCUGGAGGACGGG